UUUCCCGGCGCUUCGCCGGCCCUCUCCGCGUCCCGGGAUAAAUCGGUUUGGAACACGUCUGGCUGGGAGGCGCGAGGGCGGAGAGCAGCUGAGCGGCCCGGGCCAGGGUCUCACGGACUCUUGGGGUCUGGCAGACGCGGCCGCUCCCGUCACUGCGGCGCGGGCCGAGCUCACGGCCGCGCGCCCGCCGCCGCCGCCUCCAUGCUGCAGCGCGGGGCUCAGUUCCACUCGGCCAGGAGGCCGCCGUUGCCUGCACGCGCCGCCUUGGGAAGCUCGGUUCCCUGGCCCGCCCCGGCAGCGGCCGCCGCCCCAGACCUCAGCUGCUCGCCUUGCGCCUGAACUGCGGAUUCGCCCCAGCGCGGUGGCCAGCGGGCGGGGCGCUGUGUGCAGCCGCGCGCAGGGAAGCGGUGAGCGUGUGCAGAACUGCCCCAGCCGAGGACUAUGUAUGUGUGUGCGCGUGUGUGCAUGUGUUUGCUGGUGUUUUUCCUUCUUCCCUUGAGGGUGUGAAUUGUUUCGCAGCUGGCUGCUCCCUUAGGAUUCUUGACUUUGGGGAGCUCUGGGCUGUGAGCACAACCCACCCAUAUAAUCCAUUUUGCACGGUCGGUUAUAUCAGGGAAAAAAAAAAAAAAGCGCAACUGGACGGGGGUGGGGCAGACCGACGAAACCUGGAAACACACACACACUCAGGAGAGAUGAAAAAUUGAAAGACUUGAGAAGACUUUGAUAACCUCCCUGCUGGCCCUUCUGUUUUCCGGAAAGAUCCUGGAUGUUGGCUACCUUUUCAAGUCGUCUUGGCAUGUCUCUAGUGUUUUGUAAGCUGCUUUCCAGCUAGCUGCGUGUGUGUGUGCGCGCGAGUGUGUACGCGCGCGCCAAUCUCAUGCAUUUGACUGUCUUUUAUCCAACUGCCCAGAAUGUGUUAACUCGGCGAUGCCCCUUCAUGCCCGGGUUCUUGCAGAGCUCUGAGGACGCCCGGACCCAUUUUCCUGGCUGGAUUUGGAGCGGCUGCUGGGCUGUGGACCCAGGUGUGUGGAUCACUUUACCCAGAAGCUUGGAAAGCGCCAGUUUUUAACCGGCUUCCAGGUACAUCACAAGGUCAAGAGAGGGUCUUGCAGCCCUCUUGUUUCCGUGUAUCUACACCUUCUCGUCUUGGCCAGAAGGAUAUUUACGUGUUGGUCCACAGCAUUUGAAGCCAAAAGUUCAGCCCGUCGAGCUGUUUUGCUAUACAAAAAGAAAAAAAACAAGGUAAUGAGGAUUGCUUAUCAAACUGCCUAACAUAAUCCUCACUCUUCCGCAGCCUUUUCCCGUCUCCCUCCUCCCCACCAAAAUGUCACCAGCUCUUGAAUUACGUGGAUUCGGGUUGGAGGAGAACUUGAAGGAAACGUGAUUAAACGGCUAUGCGAGAACGCUCUCUUUGCUGCCCGCGGUCCGGUGGGCUUCGAAGCCACUCGUGAGAAGGACUGCUUCCCUCCGUGCUGCCUUCCUCCCCGUGCAGUGUUGGGUGUGAGUGUGCAAGUGUGAGUGCAAGUGCGCGCGCCUGGGUACGAGUGUGUGAGUGUGAGCGUGUCUGUGUGUGCGUGCGCGGCCGCCCUGCCUUUGCCCGCUCCCCAGGCGCGGAGCCGCGGGUUUCAUGGGGCGAUUGCCGCGGAUCCCCCACCCAGCGCGACCUGCGGGCAGCGGCGGCAGUGGCAGGAGCCGCCUUUCCGACUCCCUAGGAUGCGGGUGCUGAGCUAUGGCAAAGGGCAGCGAAGUGACGAGCGAGACCCGGGUACGACUGUGAAAGCCACCUGGAGCCACCUUGUCGGGAUUGUACCUGCAGGCAGAAAGUCUUCCUAUGACCGUCUUUUCCCCUAGAGGCACCAGAACCCCUGUAAGCAUUCAGCCAGGUGUUGAGAAGAUAUGUAGCAGCUGAGAAUCCAUCUUUUGACACCAUCCUCAGAAACCAGCUUUGGAGAUGCUUUCACUCUGUCCGUCUUCUGCAGCAGCCAGGCAGAGUGCUGACUCCUUCACAGCAGUGAGGAACUCUUCAGGCUCCAGAAGCUCUUAAAUCUGAUCUACAAUGGAAAAAAUUCUUUUUUAUCUGUUUUUCAUUGGCAUAGCAGUGAAAGCUCAGAUCUGUCCAAAGCGUUGUGUCUGUCAGAUUUUGUCUCCUAAUCUUGCAACCCUUUGUGCCAAGAAAGGGCUUUUAUUUGUUCCACCAAACAUUGACAGAAGAACUGUGGAACUUCGGUUGGCAGACAAUUUUGUUACAAAUAUUAAAAGGAAAGAUUUUGCCAAUAUGACCAGCUUGGUGGACCUGACUCUAUCCAGGAAUACAAUAAGUUUUAUUACACCUCAUGCUUUCGCUGACCUACGAAAUUUGAGGGCUUUGCAUUUGAAUAGCAACAGAUUGACUAAAAUUACAAAUGAUAUGUUCAGUGGUCUUUCCAAUCUUCAUCAUUUGAUAUUAAACAACAAUCAGCUGACUUUAAUUUCCUCUACAGCAUUUGAUGAUGUCUUCGCCCUUGAGGAGCUGGAUCUGUCCUAUAAUAAUCUAGAAACCAUUCCUUGGGAUGCUGUUGAGAAGAUGGUUAGCUUGCAUACCCUCAGUUUGGAUCACAAUAUGAUUGAUAACAUUCCUAAGGGGACCUUCUCCCAUUUGCACAAGAUGACUCGGUUAGAUGUGACAUCAAAUAAAUUGCAGAAGCUACCACCUGAUCCUCUCUUCCAGCGAGCUCAGGUACUAGCAACCUCAGGAAUCAUAAGCCCAUCUACUUUUGCAUUAAGUUUUGGUGGAAACCCUUUGCAUUGCAAUUGUGAAUUGUUGUGGUUGAGGCGUCUGUCCAGAGAAGAUGACUUAGAAACUUGUGCUUCUCCUCCACUUUUAACUGGCCGCUACUUUUGGUCAAUUCCUGAAGAAGAGUUUUUGUGUGAGCCUCCUCUCAUUACUCGUCAUACACAUGAGAUGAGAGUCCUGGAGGGACAAAGGGCAACACUGAGGUGCAAAGCCAGGGGAGACCCUGAGCCUGCAAUUCACUGGAUUUCUCCUGAAGGGAAGCUUAUUUCAAAUGCAACAAGAUCUCUGGUAUAUGAUAACGGAACACUUGAUAUUCUUAUAACAACUGUAAAGGAUACAGGUGCUUUUACCUGCAUUGCUUCCAAUCCUGCUGGGGAAGCAACACAAAUAGUGGAUCUUCAUAUAAUUAAGCUCCCUCACUUACUAAACAGUACAAACCAUAUCCAUGAGCCUGAUCCUGGUUCUUCAGAUAUCUCAACUUCUACCAAGUCAGGGUCUAAUACGAGCAGUAGUAAUGGUGAUACAAAAUUGAGUCAAGAUAAAAUUGUGGUGGCAGAAGCUACAUCAUCAACAGCACUACUUAAAUUUAAUUUUCAAAGAAAUAUCCCUGGAAUACGUAUGUUUCAAAUCCAGUACAAUGGUACUUAUGAUGACACCCUUGUUUACAGGAAGUCACGUUGGGAGGCUAUACCAUUAUCCCAAUGAUGCUGCCAUUGCUCAAAGCACUUUUGGAAUUAUCUUUAGAACCUUCGUCAUACUAUUUUGAAUAUCCUCAGUGGUGGCAAAUCUUCGUCUUUUGAGGGUGAAUUUGAAUUUUGGAAACAAGCAAAAGCCAUUUGGAGUCAAGUCUUGUCAAUAAGAAUGAUACCUCCUACGAGCAAAACUUUUCUGGUCAAUAAUCUGGCUGCCGGAACUAUGUAUGACUUAUGUGUCUUGGCCAUAUAUGAUGAUGGCAUCACUUCCCUCACUGCCACAAGAGUCGUGGGUUGCAUCCAGUUUACUACGGAACAGGAUUAUGUGCGUUGCCAUUUCAUGCAGUCCCAAUUUUUGGGAGGCACCAUGAUUAUUAUUAUUGGUGGAAUAAUUGUAGCAUCUGUGCUGGUAUUCAUCAUCAUUCUGAUGAUCCGGUAUAAGGUUUGCAACAAUAAUGGGCAACACAAGGUCACCAAGGUUAGCAAUGUUUAUUCUCAAACUAACGGGGCUCAGAUACAAGGCUGCAGUGUAACGUUGCCCCAGUCUGUGUCCAAACAAGCUGUCGGACACGAAGAGAAUGCCCAGUGUUGUAAAGCUGCCACUGACAAUGUGAUUCAAUCUUCAGAAACUUGUUCGAGUCAGGACUCCUCUACCACUACCUCUGCUUUGCCUCCUUCCUGGACUUCAAGCACUUCUGUGUCCCAAAAGCAGAAAAGAAAGACUGGCCCAAAGCCAAGUACCGAACCACAGAAUGAAGUUGGCACAAAUGUUGAGUCCCAAAACACUAACAGGAACAACUCAACUGCCUUGCAGUUAGCUAGCCGACCUCCCGAUUCUGUCAGAGAGGGGCCCACAUCUAAAAGAGCACAUACAAAGCCAAAUGCUUUGCUGACUAAUGUUGACCAGAUUGUCCAGGAAACACAGAGGCUGGAGUUAAUCUGAAGAGCACGACUUCUCCUCUCCCUACUGAAAAAAAUUGCCACUGAUAUUUUUACUGGAUAAAAUUCAAAAAUGUUUCAAUUCACAAAGGCUAAUUGUUGAACUGGUGUCGUAGAAGAAAUUGUCUACAGGAGCCGAGGUGAAAGUCUCUGAUACUGGCGGAACUGACUCCGUCAGACCAUGGUUCAUCCUCUUUCAAAACCAAAUUUUUUUCUUCUGGCCUACAAGUAUUUUUUAUUUUUAAGAAAGAGAAAAUGCCUACAUUGACAUCAAGUUCUGUAUCAAUCCAUCUUACAUUGCCAUCCAUGAUUUAACAGACUGUAGAAUCUUGAAUAAUCUAUAUCACUUUAACAAAUAAAUGUUUUACUAUGACAGAAUUUGCACAUUGCCUGAUUUGUGAAAGCACACAUUCCUUAAAGUGUGAGUGGUGAAAUAAUUAUUGAAAGAACUAAUAAUACUGUUUAAAUGUAGGCAGUGCAAAAACCUUAAGAGAUUACAAGCAGAGCAGUAUAGCUAUUUAAGCAAAUUUGUACUAAUUUUAUGCCUCAUUGUAGGACAGAAAAUGAUAAAGGCUCUCUUCUCCUAGUAAAACUUCCAAAAUAAUCAAGAUAGGAAUAUUACAAUUAAUCCAAAUUGAUUUGUUGCUUUUCUAGAGAGCCAGUUCAAAAGAGGUUUUAAUAAUUACAAGCCGUAUGUUUCAUCAUAAGUGCAUACUUCUGUACUUUUGCACAAGUUCUGGGUAAGAACAAAGAAUAUGCAUCUGACUUAAUACCAGCACAUGUAGAAGUGGGUUAUUUUUGAUGGCUAAUAUAGGGGAAUGCAGUCAUAUUUAAGCAAUAUCCAAGCUAAGCAUUUAAGAGCUGCUCCUGGUGUGAAGCAGGCCUGAGCUGUGGGAAUUUGGCUAGUUACUCAUGCACAGUGAUCUUCCAUGUUGUCGUAGAAUAGAUAUUUGCAUAAAAUUUGAAAGCAUGUACAUGUAUCACAAUACAUGGCAAAGCAAUAAGUUACAAAAAAUUUUCAUGGUAGCCUUAUUACUCCCAAUUGAAUUCAGAUUCUCUAUUAUAGAUUAUAUCUCUAUUCCUUGGUAAUUCUGAUAGUUAUCAUUGAGACCAUUAUGUAGUUUUUUUAAGUUCAAAACAAAAAAGCUAGAAAACUGUUUGCCUUUUAAGAAAUGCAGGUUAAUCUGUUAAUUAUUCCACAUUUGGAAUAUUACAAAUAUCCCCUCAUCCAAUGAGUAUUUUCAGGAUGUUAGCUAUUAGAGAAUACUUGGAAGCUGUGCUCAGGACAAUGGACAAAGAUUGUUUGCAUGCACACACACAUGUACACACACACUAUCUGACACACACAAUGCGAGACUGAAACAGAAGUUACAAGUUUGAAUUGAAUUUUUGUAGUUACAUUUUGUAGUUGUGACAUUGGGCAAUUUACCUAAUUCUCUGUUUCUUGACAACUCUAAUACCCUGGAACAAUUUUGCUCAUGGGUGUGUGUGCAUAUGCAUACAUAAAUGUGUAUGAUAAUUAAAAUGAUACAGAAUGAACAUUAA